GACAAACGCUGGCGGCGUGCUUAACACAUGCAAGUCGAGCGGAAAGGCCACUUCGGUGGUACUCGAGCGGCGAACGGGUGAGUAACACGUGAGUAAUCUGCCCUUCACUUCGGGAUAGCUUCGGGAAACCGAAAUUAAUACCGGAUACGACGCACUCCUGCAUGGGAUGUGUGUGGAAAGUUUUUUCGGUGGAGGAUGUGCUCGCGGCCUAUCAGCUUGUUGGUGGGGUAAUGGCCUACCAAGGCUUCGACGGGUAGCCGGCCUGAGAGGGUGACCGGCCACACUGGGACUGAGACACGGCCCAGACUCCUACGGGAGGCAGCAGUGGGGAAUAUUGGACAAUGGGCGGAAGCCUGAUCCAGCAACGCCGCGUGAGGGAUGACGGCCUUCGGGUUGUAAACCUCUUUCAGUACCGACGAAGCGCAAGUGACGGUAGGUACAGAAGAAGCACCGGCCAACUACGUGCCAGCCGCCGCCGUAAAAC
rnacentral:rRNA from 1 species